AAAGCGGACGGACGGACGGACCCGCCCCGCCCGAAAAAGGACGGACGGACGGACUGAUGCGGACCCGACAGGACCAUAAAUAUCCAUGUAAAGGACAAUCAUUCAUGGAUAAUCUGUCUUUAAAACACUUUUAUACUUGGACAAUAAAUUUAUGUACGUAUUAACUAUGCUAGGACCAAUAGAAGAGGUCAUGUUAGCGAAAAUGUAACUUUAUCAAUGCCAAAAUUGCCGGCUACUACAGGCUGCAUGAAGCAUCACAAUACUGAACCAUCUCUUGAAUUCUAUUUGUUAUUCUUAAUAGGAGUUCAGUGAAACCAUUUUAAUGAUUUUUCUAUAUUAUUUGGUGCAAGUCUAUAUCUUCAAUCAAUAUAUUCUAAGAGGAAUUACCAUUUACAGUGAAUAUAAGCAGGAAUACAAUGUAGACUAUAUAGGAUGACUAUUAUUAAAUAAAAACUGCAAUUUUUUAGAGUAAUAAUUAUGUUUUGUGUAUUAUCAACAGCAAUCUUUAGUAAAUUGGUUGCAAAUCAACCUGAUGAGACUGUUGACUGAUACUUUUAUGAUUAUAUAUGAUGUAAGUGAAGUUGAAUCUAUUGUAAUGCCUUGUCAUGUCAGGAGCCACUAGAUUUUAAUUGUUAUUAAGCGUCAUAAAUCAAUUUUUUAAUUUUGAUU